AGGUAUGCAGGGGAUCUGGUUGGGACAUCCACCACGUGUGGAUUGCUAGGAUCUAUCUGGCCAAGCUCCCUGUCUAGGCAGUGUCCCCUUCCUCUUCACUCCCUCAGGGCUUCUUUCAGGACUGCACACCUGUUGGAGAGGAUGAUCUUGGCAGAGAGAGGGAAUGCCCUAUUGGGAUAUCCCUUGGAAUCACUGUGGCUGAGUCACCCCUCGGCAACUUGGUGUGAUAGCUGGACCCUGGCAACAGAAUGUCCAGAU
rnacentral:snRNA from 1 species